rnacentral:rRNA from 1 species
GUGUCAGCCGCCGCGGUAAUACGGAGGAUCCAAGCGUUAUCCGGAUUUAUUGGGUUUAAAGGGUGCGUAGGCGGAUUAUUAAGUCAGUGGUGAAAGCCUGCAGCUUAACUGCAGAAUUGCCGUUGAUACUGGUAAUCUUGAGUACAUUUGAAGCGGGCGGAAUGUGUCAUGUAGCGGUGAAAUGCUUAGAUAUGACACAGAACACCGAUUGCGAAGGCAGCUCGCUAAACUGUAACUGACGCUGAGGCACGAAAGCGUGGGGAGCAAACAGGAUUAGAUACCCUCGUAGUCC